AUUGAACGCUGGCGGCAGGCCUAACACAUGCAAGUAGAGCGGAGCGGCGGACGGGUGAGUAAUGCCUAGGAAUCUGCCUGGUAGUGGGGGAUAACGUCCGGAAACGGGCGCUAAUCCCGCAUACUAUCAGAUGAGCCUAUGUAGGAUUAGCUAGUUGGUGGGGUAAAGGCCUACCAAGGCGACGAUCCGUAACUGGUCUGAGAGGCGGAUCAGUCAAACUGGAACUGAGACACGGUCCAGACUCAUACGGAAGGCAGCAGUGGGGAAUAUUGCAGAAUGGGCGAAAGCCUGAUCCAGCCAUGCCGCGUGUGUGAAGAAGGUCUUCGGAUUGGAAUGCACUUUAAGUUGGGAGGCGUUACCAACAGAAUAAGCACCGGCUAACUUCGUGCCAGCAGCCGCGGUAAUUC
rnacentral:rRNA from 1 species